rnacentral:rRNA from 1 species
AUGAACGCUGGCGGCGUGCCUAAUCCCUGCAAGUCGCGCGCACAGACGAGGAGCUUGCUCCUCUGACGUUAGCGGCGGACGGGUGAGUAACACGUGGAUAACCUACCUAUAAGACUGGGAUAACUUCGGGAAACCGGAGCUAAUACCGGAUAAUAUAUUGAACCGCAUGGUUCAAUAGUGAAAGACGGUUUUGCUGUCACUUAUAGAUGGAUCCGCGCCGCAUUAGCUAGUUGGUAAGGUAACGGCUUACCAAGGCGACGAUGCGUAGCCGACCUGAGAGGGUGAUCGGCCACACUGGAACUGAGACACGGUCCAGACUCCUACGGGAGGCAGCAGUAGGGAAUCUUCCGCAAUGGGCGAAAGCCUGACGGAGCAACGCCGCGUGAGUGAUGAAGGUCUUCGGAUCGUAAAACUCUGUUAUUAGGGAAGAACAAAUGUGUAAGUAACUAUGCACGUCUUGACGGUACCUAAUCAGAAAGCCACGGCUAACUACGUG